CGGGGCGUAGCUCAGCUUGGCUAGAGCGCUGCGUUUGGGACGCAGAGGUCGCACGUUCGAAUCGUGUCGCCCCGAC
rnacentral:tRNA from 4 species